AUAUAUAGGAAAGAGUUCAGCAAGAACAUAAAUAUUUGCAAAGUCUAGAGUCAUAAUAUCGUUCGUUAGAUCGAUUUUAAUCAAGGGCUGAGAUUAAAAGCAAAUAUUAGUAUCCCUUAAAUUACUCACAUCCCUCUCUCCUCUCUCCUCUCUCUCUUCCGUCACUUUUUCCCUCUCUCCUCUCUCCUCUCUCAUCUCUCAUCUCUCUCUCACCCGUCCC
rnacentral:lncRNA from 1 species